rnacentral:lncRNA from 10 species
AUUUUGUUCUUGUUUUUAAAUCUGUCUUUAAUCAUUUCAUGUAAAGUUGUAAGCCUUUGAAGCAUUUGAGAAUUUCAUACAAAACAUUUCUGAAAGAUAAAUUUUCUCAUAUUUUCUUGGACACGCUGAUUGAUCAUUUUAGUUAGUCUCUGAAGAAAUCCAUGAAAAAGUACUUGUUACUAUUUUUACCCACAGCAGCAUAAUUUAAAUUUGAGUUAAAUAGGCUUAUAAACAAAUUUGUAUAACCAUGAUGAAAAAUCAUCUUCCCAAUAGUAUAGCUAAACUAAUAAAGUAACUGUGGUAGGGAUGAGCAAUUAUAGUCCAAGCAAUGUAAACUCAAUUCAUACGUGGAAAACCACAGGGGCAAGGGGAAUACAGUAUAUAGACAGUGUCAGAACAAGAGACUGCUAGGAGUUCUGGGUUUUAUCCUCCUCUACAGAUACACAUUGUCUACCCAGCUUCCCAAGAGACCACCAUGUAAAUGUCUUCUUUCAACUCGUCAUGAUUAAAGGUUAAUAAUAUUUUACACAAAAAUAAUGUGUUCUUUUAAAAGGUAGUAAAAUUUUCUGGGACAGAGAUUGAGGAUGUUCUUCAGCAAUCUUACAAAUGAUUUAUUGGUUUAUUUACAUAAAAUCAAAUCAGUGUAUAUUCUAUCUUACAUUAGCUGAACUACAGUAGCUUCCACAAUAAGUCAAGCACAAAUUUUAAUCCAUUUAACAAUCUUUAGCAAACAUUUAUUUAAGGACUCUAAUGUUUCAGGGAUAGUAAUGGUUACUAGGUAUACAAAGCAAAUCAAUCUCAGUUCGUGCCUAAAAAGUACAUAAUCUUUAAUAAGUUUCAAGAUCAUAGAGCCAUAUAAUCUAAUAAAAUAAAUAAAUUCAUCUGUUUUAUUGAGCAAUUAUUUGGUACCGACUAUGUGCAAGCUAUUGUGUAUAUUUUGGUAUGUGCUAAAAGUCUAUGAUUCUGUAUAUGUUUUUCAUGUACCUAUUUUUAAUAAAUUUGUAUUUUUUCUUAAUACUAUGACACAAUUUGCAUUUUUAAUCUUUAAAGCCUUUCACUAUUAUUCAGUUUUUGUCACUAUUCUCUCACAAAGUUCUUGUGGUAUGUCUUAGCUUUUUUCUGAAUGCACUUUUAUCAUAUUCAUAUGUAUUAUGAAUCUUUCAAGACACAGUUCAGUAGUCACCUCCUCCACCCCACCAUGAUACUUAUAGACAGUUUCUGGUGUAUAAUGGAUCCUAUUACGUGCUUUUUAUGUAAAUUUUAUGUAUAUUUAAUUUGAAAUUUAUAAUACCUUUCAAAAUUCUUGACCAUUCUAUAUUUAAUAACAAAAUUAAAAUAAAUGAAUUAAAAAUGUAUCAUUCUGAUUAUCCUUCCAGAAAAUUGUAUCUCAGUUUCUUUCAGAGAGAAAAUAUUUGACAAUCAACAAGGAGACUUCUCUAAUAUGACAUAUCUGAACCAAAACAACAAGCAUUAAAUGGGUGACUAGUCAUUACAUAAUACUAUAAAAAUUUAUAGAAAUCUCUUAGUCAGAACAUUUAUGAGAAAUGUCAUAAAUUUAAAGUUAAUGUGAAUUGCUUUUAUAUUAGUGUAUCGUUUGUAAGCCGUCUACCCAUAAUAUUAAUUAGCAUGGAUAUAGUACAUUGAAACAGAGCUACAAUCUGUACUAAUAUUUAUUCUUUGUAUAAUUCUACUUAAAUUAUUGGUUGGAAAAAGUUAUUUCCAAUACAAACAUUGAAACAUAACCUAGAAGGCCGUCUAUGUAGUACAUUCUUGCUCUGGUUUUGAAAAAAAGCGUUAUCAGGUUGUUUACUAAUGGAAUAAAAUGACAGAUGAAGUAAUGAACAUCCUAGACGAACCCAGGCAUCUCUACAUGCAUAGUUAAAUGUUAUUUUAAUAUCCGGCCGGAUGGCAAGUAAAACUGUAGAAUUUAAUGUCUAUCUAACCAUACCAAACUUUCCAAAUAUUGUUGCAAUGUUUCUUCUUAAAAAUAAAAAUAUAAAUUUUACUUAGAAGUCAAAUUGAAAAAUAAAUAUUGGCAAGAAAUACAUGAAAUUUUACAAAGAACAUGUUCAUAUAUAUAUAUUUAUGAUUGAUCACAUUUUAUUAAUUGGAGAGUUAAACAUACUUUUAUCAUGUUUUCUACCCUAGAAAAUAUGGAAGAUAAAGCUCUGUUGUCCUCUUCAUUUUCCUAACUAAGCAAGUAUUUUAUAAAGCACUGAGGUGUAAUUCUCUUUACAAAGUGAUAAAUCCUUUACACAAAAUUGUUCCUACUGAAGAUAAUAAUUCUCCAAUUACAAAAGCAUCAUCCUUUUUUUUUUUUUUUUUUUUUUUUUUUUU